ACUAUGAGUGUCUAAUAAAUUGCUUGAAUUAGCUCACAUGUAACUAUUGACUCGACAGAGAUCACCAUAGACCUAACCAAAACAUCAAAAGUGAUUAUUUUAUUUUUUAUGAACUAUUCAAAAAGAAAAAAAAGAAAUCAUAAACUAAGGAGGAGAGUAGCGAGAAGGACCUGGAAAUGUUUCACAAUUAAUUUGCUGAAAGUGAUUACAAGACAAUCCAGCAACAGACUCGAACACAAGACCGAAAUGGCAAUAGGAGAACUCUGUCGUGAACCUCGAACUUGGAUGACAACUCCAACUGAUUUUACACUUCAAAUGUUUGGGACGUUUUGAAGCUCACAAACAACAGGAACGCAACCAGAACCUCGAUAGACGACGGGCUAGUCGAGCUGAGUCCGAGAAAACUCAAAUCGCGCCGACGAACUCGAACUCUACAUCGACCCGGAGAAACCGAAGCUCAAAGAGCUGACUGGAAUUGAAACUUGGUGUCUUUUGGGGUCUACAGCUGAGCUGAUUUUAAAGCUGGUUUCAAGAGUUUUUACAUGGUAUUUUGGAGGUGCUCUAAUGGAGGUUUAGAGGGGGUGGUCGGCUGGUUUGUGUCCAUUUUUUGGUUCUUGUAUAUGUGUGUGUUUCUCGCUGGGAUGAGGGUCCUCGUUUGUGUGUUCCGGCGAGUCGCCGCUGGCGGGGAGACGGGGAGUGGAGGG
rnacentral:lncRNA from 1 species